UACGUAGGGCGCAAGCGUUGUCCGGAUUUAUUGGGCGUAAAGAGCUCGUAGGCGGCUUGUUGCGUCGGCUGUGAAAAACCCGCAGCUCAACUGUGGGCUUGCAGCCGAUACGGGCAGGCUUGAGUUCGGUAGGGGAGACUGGAAUUCCUGGUGUAGCGGUGAAAUGACGCAGAUAUCAGGAGGAACACCGAUGGCGAAGGCAGGUCUCUGGGGCAUUAACUGACGCUGAGGAGCGAAAAGCAUGGGGGAGCGAACAGG
rnacentral:rRNA from 1 species